rnacentral:rRNA from 1 species
ACGACGACCGGCGGAUGGGUGCGUAACGCGUAUGCAACUUGCCUCACAGUGGAGAAUAACCCGGAGAAAUCCGGACUAAUGUUCCAUACACUCUUAAGUACGCCUGUACAUGAGAGGAAAGAUUUAUCGCUGUGAGAUAGGCAUGCGUCCUAUUAGGUAGUUGGUGAGGUAACGGCUCACCAAGCCGACGAUAGGUAGGGGUGCUGAGAGGCAGAUCCACCACAUAGGAACUGAGACACGGUCCUAACUCC